UGGGGAAUUUUGGACAAUGGGGGAAACCCUGAUCCAGCCAUCCCGCGUGUGCGAUGAAGGCCUUCGGGUUGUAAAGCACUUUUGGCAGGAAAGAAACGUCGCGGGUUAAUACCCCGCGAAACUGACGGUACCUGCAGAAUAAGCACCGGCUAACUACGUGCCAGCAGCCGCGGUAAUACGUAGGGUGCAAGCGUUAAUCGGAAUUACUGGGCGUAAAGCGUGCGCAGGCGGUUCGGAAAGAAAGAUGUGAAAUCCCAGAGCCUAACUUUGGAACUGCAUUUUUAACUACCGGGCUAGAGUGUGUCAGAGGGAGGUGGAAUUCCGCGUGUAGCAGUGAAAUGCGUAGAUAUGCGGAGGAACACCGAUGGCGAAGGCAGCCUCCUGGGAUAACACUGACGCUCAUGCACGAAAGCGUGGGGAGCAAACAGGAUUAGAUACCCUGGUAGUCCACGCCCUAAAACGAUGUCAACUAGCUGUUGGGGGCCUUCGGGCCUUGGUAGCGCAGCUAACGCGUGAAGUUGACCGCCUGGGGAGUACGGUCGCAAGAUUAAAACUC
rnacentral:rRNA from 1 species